UGUAGUCAUAAGCUUGUCUCAAAGAUUAAGCCAUGCAUGUCUAAGUAUAAGCAAUCUAUACUGUGAAACUGCGAAUGGCUCAUUAAAUCAGUUAUAGUUUAUUUGAUAGUACCUUUACCUGGAUAACCGUGGUAAUUCUAGAGCUAAUACAUGCCAAAAACCCCGACUCCGGAAGGGGUGUAUUUAUUAGAUAAAAAACCAAUGCCCUCCGGGGCUCCUUGGUGAUUCAUGAUAACUUAACGAAUCGCAUGGCCUUGCGCCGGCGAUGGUUCAUUCAAAUUUCUGCCCUAUCAACUUCGAUGUAGA
rnacentral:rRNA from 1 species